rnacentral:rRNA from 1 species
UACGUAGGGUGCAAGCGUUAAUCGGAAUUACUGGGCGUAAAGCGUGCGCAGGCGGCUUUGCAAGACAGAUGUGAAAUCCCCGGGCUCAACCUGGGAACUGCAUUUGUGACUGCAUGGCUAGAGUACGGUAGAGGGGGAUGGAAUUCCGCGUGUAGCAGUGAAAUGCGUAGAUAUGCGGAGGAACACCGAUGGCGAAGGCAAUCCCCUGGACCUGUACUGACGCUCAUGCA